UACGUAGGGUGCGAGCGUUGUCCGGAAUUAUUGGGCGUAAAGGGUGCGUAGGCGGCCUGACAAGUCUGAUGUGAAAUCCCUGGGCUCAACCCAGGGCCUGCAUCGGAAACUGUCGGGCCUGAGUAUGGGAGAGGUGAGUGGAAUUUCCGGUGUAGCGGUGAAAUGCGUAGAUAUCGGAAGGAACACCUGUGGCGAAAGCGGCUCACUGGACCAUUACUGACGCUGAGGCACGAAAGCUAGGGGAGCAAACAGG
rnacentral:rRNA from 1 species